UUGAUUUCUUUUUCUGUUUUUUUUAAUCUUUUCAGCGUGGCUACUGGAACAGUUUCAACUGCCUCACCCUGUGCUUCCUGGGACAGGGCUACUCCACCCUGCACAGUGUGUGUCCUGGGACAGGGCUACUCCACCCUGCACAGUGUGUGUCCUGGGACAGGACUACUCCACCCUGCACAGUGUGUGUCCUGGGGGCUACUCCACCCUGUACAGGGUGUGUCCUGGGGGCUACUCCACCCUGCACAGCCUGCCCAGCACAGCCCACUCCCUGAAAGUGCUUUGUUUGUUCGUGUGUCUACAUGGGUACCGUCUCCCCACCAUGACCUGGGCAACACGACAGCAGGCACCUUGACUCCUCCGCUCACUGCUCUCUUCCGGGGGCCGAGAAUUGGCCUGCAGAGCCCCGCAGAGCGGUGCACAAAAAUGCUUGCUGACUGCCACAGUAACCAGCCCCAGUGCUUCCCAGCCACCCGCGGCAUGCUGAGACCACAACACACAACAGCUCUGCCAGCAGUCACCCCACCUCUAAACAUGACUUUUAGAGAAGGGUGGGGUUUGGAAAAGGCAGAAAUGGGGGUACACUUUUCCCCCAUUUCGAAAACUCUGAAAUCUGAAGAAAAGAACAGUACAAUGAACACCUAAUCACUGUUAAAAUAUUAACAUUUUCCUUACUGUUUUGAAAAAAUUGAAUCAUUUCAGAGUAAGUUGUAGCCAUGGCAACAGUUCAUCCCUAAAUGCAUCAGCGUGCACCUGGGGAGAAAGCUAGCAUCACACCCCAGUGCCAACAGCAAUGGGUGCCUCUGAAAAGCUUUGUGAUUUUUCUGAGAAAGGCACAGCACGGGGCAGUCUGGGAACCAGUUUCCCUCUACAGGUGUUUGCGUUUUUUUCUCUCUUGAGAGUGGGGGUAAGGGAAGAUAAAUGAAACCAAGACCAUAAUUAAGGUCAGAGUUAGAUAAUGGGUAUGUUUUGAUUCAAAAUGUCAACCAUAACAUGGCCUCGUACUGUUUAUUUAAAGGAACCCAGACAAAGAACGUUUGAUUUAUUAUGUUUCUCUCUGUACAAAGAGAAAAGCAGUAGUAACAGUAAUAAGUAAUACUAAGAUUAAUUAUUAAUAAGACUAAUAAACACUGAGUGCUUACCUGUGCCAGGCAUCACUCCACAGAGAUCACUAUUUAAUUCUCACUCUGAGCCCGAGGCAGGUACUCUUAACCCCAUUUCCGGAGGAGGACAGUGAAGCACAGAAGCAGAAGUCACUUGCCCCAGGUCACAGGGCAGGGAAGUGGCAGAGCAGGAUCAAGCUUGGGGAUGGGCUCCUCACUCCUGGCUAAUCCUCUGGGUUUCAGGGAAGAGCUGGGCAACCUGCUGUGUGCCAAACACAUCGCUCUUGAGUUGGACCACCUGGUGUGACCACUGUUUUCGUUAGCUAUGUGACCAUGGGCAAGUUACUUAACCUCUCUGUGCCAGUUCCUCCCCUAUUAAACAAGGACAAUACACAACUACUUCUGGAGUUGUGAGGAUUAGGUGAGAGUCCCUGUGCUGUUUGGCCGUAUU
rnacentral:lncRNA from 1 species